AACGGCGUCUAAUACUGGAUACGAGCUGCGAAGGCAUCUUCAGCAGCUGGAAAGAACUUCGGUCAGGGAUGAGCUCGCGGCCUAUCAGCUUGUUGGUGAGGUAACGGCUCACCAAGGCGUCGACGGGUAGCCGGCCUGAGAGGGUGACCGGCCACACUGGGACUGAGACACGGCCCAGACUCCUACGGGAGGCAGCAGUGGGGAAUAUUGCACAAUGGGCGCAAGCCUGAUGCAGCAACGCCGCGUGAGGGACGACGGCCUUCGGGUUGUAAACCUCUUUUAGCAGGGAAGAAGCGAAAGUGACGGUACCUGCAGAAAAAGCGCCGGCUAACUACGUGCCAGCAGCCGCGGUAAUACGUAGGGCGCAAGCGUUAUCCGGAAUUAUUGGGCGUAAAGAGCUCGUAGGCGGUUUGUCGCGUCUGCUGUGAAAACCCGAGGCUCAACCUCGGGCCUGCAGUGGGUACGGGCAGACUAGAGUGCGGUAGGGGAGAUUGGAAUUCCUGGUGUAGCGGUGGAAUGCGCAGAUAUCAGGAGGAACACCGAUGGCGAAGGCAGAUCUCUGGGCCGUAACUGACGCUGAGGAGCGAAAGGGUGGGGAGCAAACAGGCUUAGAUACCCUGGUAGUCCACCCCGUAAACGUUGGGAACUAGUUG
rnacentral:rRNA from 1 species